AUUGAACGCUGGCGGUAUGCUUUACACAUGCAAGUCGAACGGUAACAGGGAGCUUGCUUCGCUGACGAGUGGCGAACGGGUGAGUAAUAUAUCGGAACGUACGCAAGUGUGGGGGAUAACGUAGCGAAAGUUACGCUAAUACCGCAUACGAUCUAAGGACGAAAGCAGGGGACCUUGGGGCCUUGUGCCCCUGGAGGGGUCGAUAUCUGAUUAGCUAGUUGGUGAGGUAAAGGCUCACCAAGGCGACGAUCAGUAGCUGGUCUGAGAGGACGACCAGCCACACUGGAACUGAGACACGGUCCAGACUCCUACGGGAGGCAGCAGUGGGGAAUUUUGGACAAUGGGCGCAAGCCUGAUCCAGCAAUGCCGCGUGAGUGAAGAAGGCCUUCGGGUUGUAAAGCUCUUUUGUCAGGGAAGAAACGGGAUUGGCUAAUAUCCAGUCCUAAUGACGGUACCUGAAGAAUAAGCACCGGCUAACUACGUG
rnacentral:rRNA from 1 species